UGUUUAUAUAAAGGAUGAAAGUUGACUGGUUGGUGAAAGUUGAAAGUUUGUUGAAAGUUGAACGGUUGGUGAAAAGUGAAAGUUUGGUGAAAGUUGAACGAUUGGUGAAAGUUAAAAGUUUGGUGAGUUUCAAGUGUCAAUUUAGUGAUUUUUCAAUAUUUAUCGGAAUUUAAAUAUUUUUAGAUUAAAAUGUUCAUAAAAUUAAAUUAUGAUAGUUUACAUAAUUAAAAAAAAAACAGUUAAUUUAAGAAAAAAAUUAGCCUAAGUUCAUUGUUUAAUAAUCAUGGGCUAAAAUUUUAGGCCAAAAGGGUUGGAGGAGAAAAACUGUUUCCGGGCUAAAACCUAAAUUUUUUGGGCUAAAUAUUUUUAGGUUUUAGGCCAUGGUUGGAGAUGGUCUUAGGGAUCAAUUCAUCUUAGCCGUUUAU
rnacentral:lncRNA from 1 species